rnacentral:sRNA from 1 species
UUUAUCUUCUUCUUUUUUU